AGUGAACGCUGGCGGUAGGCCUAACACAUGCAAGUCGAACGGCAGCACAGUAAGAGCUUGCUCUUACGGGUGGCGAGUGGCGGACGGGUGAGGAAUACAUCGGAAUCUACUUUUUCGUGGGGGAUAACGUAGGGAAACUUACGCUAAUACCGCAUACGACCUACGGGUGACAGCAGGGGAUCUUCGGACCUUGCGCGAUUGAAUGAGCCGAUGUCGGAUUAGCUAGUUGGCGGGGUAAAGGCCCACCAAGGCGACGAUCCGUAGCUGGUCUGAGAGGAUGAUCAGCCACACUGGAACUGAGACACGGUCCAGACUCCUACGGGAGGCAGCAGUGGGGAAUAUUGGACAAUGGGCGCAAGCCUGAUCCAGCCAUACCGCGUGAGUGAAGAAGGCCUUCGGGUUGUAAAGCCCUUUUGUUGGGAAAGAAAAGCAGCAGGUUAAUACCCCGCUGUUCUGACGGUACCCAAAGAAUAAGCACCGGCUAACUUCGUG
rnacentral:rRNA from 1 species